rnacentral:lncRNA from 1 species
AGACCAAGCCCUGAGACACAGUGUUGAGAGCCAAGACAUAAAGUUGUGAAGAUUCAGACCCAGAGCCCAGCAGGGCACAGGCUGGAGGGGUGAUGUGAGUGAUCAGUAACACCAUGAAGACUCUGCUCCUGGGUCAGGAAUGCUUUUUUGUCCCUGUUUUUGGAUUUUCCACCAUGAUCAGCCAAUGCAGAAAGAAAUCUAAAGGUGAAGGAAAGGCAGCGUUCAGCACUGAGCAAGUCCAUGUUGGAGAAAGUUCACAGGGAAUUGGAAAUCCUUGUCUUCGUGGUUCCUGGCUCAGCAGGACCCCUGUGGGGCCUCUCCCUCUCUUGGGAAAGAGAUUGCUCUAGAAGGUUUACUACACCAGUGAGGAGAAGAUGAGCGCAAGGGGGAUUGGCCGGCUGAGGGCGAAAUCAAGACUGGAGCCAAGUGCGCUGAGCUCUCACAUGAGGUCCUUUGCUCCUGUUCCCUGGAGGCAUAAGUGGCUGGGGUAGAGAGAAGCAGGGGUAUUUCUUCUGUCCUUUCUUGCUUAGGGAUUGGGGGUGGAAAUCUCCCCGCAUCUAAGGAAAUUUGAAAAGACAAACUAUGGCUGCUUCUUCAAGCAAACCACCUCACCACACUAUCCAGGGGAUAAAACCCGCUUGCUGCUGCUAAAUUAUGCCAAGAGAGAACAUUCUGAUAUUUCUCCUCAAUUCUAGGCAUGACAGCGUGACUUGGUGCUUAAAGGCAUGGAGUUUUGAGUUGCAGACCUAGGUUUGAGUGCUGAAUCUACUAGCUUCAGGGUGUUAAAAAAGUUUCUUAAUCUCUCUAAACCUUAUUUUUCUCAAAGAUAAAAAACUGGGUGUAGUUGUGAGUAUAGUGAAUGCACAUAGUAUGUGCCUUUGGCAUGUUAAUUCACUAUUAUUCUGGACAUAAUUUCUCCUAAGAAAAAGGAUGAACUAAUUGCAGGGCCUAGCCUAAGCUCUGAGAAGUCAUUCGUUAUAGCAUUUCAGUCCAUAGUAAACAAGAAGAAAUGAGGUAAAGAGUUUAAACCAGGGAAGGCAUAGCUGUGGUCACCAAACAACCUGUUAAAGGCGAGCUGUAGGCACCAAAAAACCUAUUAUGGACUGAAUUGUGUUCCUCAAAUUCAUAUGUUGAAGUGCUAACCCCAAGUACCAAAUGUGACUGUAUUUGGGGAUAGGGUCCCUGAAGAAGUCACUCAGCUGGAAGGAGUCAUAUUGGAUUAGGUGUUGGGAAUUGGCUGGCCAAGGGAGAAAUCAAGGCUGGAACCAAGUGCUGAACUCUCACAUCAGGUCCUUUGCUCCUGUUCCCUGGACCCUAAUCCAAUAUGACUGGCAUCUUUAUAUGAAGAGGAAGAGGCACCAGAGGGUACACACGCAGAGAAAAGGCCAUGUGUGGACACAGUAAGAUGACGGACAUCUGUAAGCCAAGGAGGGAAACCUCAGAAGAAACCAGCCUUGCCUGCACCUUGAUCUUGGAGGUCCAGUCUCCAGAACUGUGAAAAAAAUGAACUGGUGUUGUUUAAAUCCCCCAGUCGUGGUAUUUUGUCAUGGUGGCCCUAGAAGACAAUAUACAACCCAAAGGAAUAUUCUUUCCACUUUCUCCCUCUUCCACUUUAUAGUUUUUUCUCCUUCGUUUCUUUCUUUUUCUCUUUUACUUUCCUUUUCUUCUCUUCUCUUUCCUCUGGUUUUUAAUUUUAAUUUUAAUUUUUGGCCUUCCUAUACCUCCAUUUGCCUCUCCAGGAAGCUGAAUUCCAGACAAUUAAUCAUUCAUCUCAUCAGUUCAGCAAAGCAAAUGCCCUCAAUGGUUUCUUUUGUGAUUCGAUUAUUAUGGGAUCAGAAUGUAUCUUAUUCCUCUGGGAAAAAUGAAACAUAAAAAUUUCAGAAAU